AGUCGGACGGUAGCACAGAGGAGCUUGCUCCUCGGGUGACGAGUGGCGGACGGGUGAGUANUGUCNGGGGAUCUGCCCGAUAGAGGGGGAUAACCACUGGAAACGGUGGCUAAUACCGCAUAACGUCGCAAGACCAAAGAGGGGGACCUUCGGGCCUCUCACUAUCGGAUGAACCCAGAUGGGAUUAGCUAGUAGGCGGGGUAACGGCCCACCUAGGCGACGAUCCCUAGCUGGUCUGAGAGGAUGACCAGCCACACUGGAACUGAGACACGGUCCASACUCCUACGGGAGGCAGCAGUGGGGAAUAUUGCACANUGGGCGCAAGCCUGAUGCAGCCAUGCCGCGUGUAUGAAGAAGGCCUUCGGGUUGUAAAGUACUUUCAGCGGGGAGGAAGGCGAUGUGGUUAAUAACCGYNUUGAUUGACGUUACCCGCAGAAGAAGCACCGGCUAACUCCGUGCCAGCAGCCGCGGUAAUACGGAGGGUGCAAGCGUUAAUCGGAAUUACUGGGCGUAAAGCGCACGCAGGCGGUCUGUUAAGUCAGAUGUGAAAUCCCCGGGCUUAACCUGGGAACUGCAUUUGAAACUGGCAGGCUUGAGUCUCGUAGAGGGGGGUA
rnacentral:rRNA from 1 species